GACCGCGUAGCUCAGUUGGCAGAGCAUUGGACUAGUAUUCCAAAGGUCGUAGGUUCGAUUCCCACCGUGGACA
rnacentral:tRNA from 1 species